rnacentral:rRNA from 1 species
UGAGUAACCUGCCCUUAACUCUGGGAUAAGCCUGGGAAACUGGGUCUAAUACCGGAUACGACUCCUCAUCGCAUGGGUGGGGGGUGGAAAGCUUUUUGUGGUUUUGGAUGGACUCGCGGCCUAUCAGCUUGUUGGUGAGGUAAUGGCUCACCAAGGCGACGACGGGUAGCCGGCCUGAGAGGGCGACCGGCCACACUGGGACUGAGACACGGCCCAGACCUCCGUACGGGGAGCAG